UACGGGGGGAGCAAACGUUGUUCGGAAUCACUGGGCGUAAAGGGCGCGUAGGCGGCAAUUCAAGUCAGCUGUGAAAUCUCCGGGCUUAACUCGGAACGGUCAGCUGAUACUGCUUUGCUAGAGUGCAGAAGGGGCAAUCGGAAUUCUUGGUGUAGCGGUGAAAUGCGUAGAUAUCAAGAGGAACACCUGAGGUGAAGACGGGUUGCUGGGCUGACACUGACGCUGAGGCGCGAAAGCUAGGGUAGCAAACGGG
rnacentral:rRNA from 1 species